UACGUAGGGUGCGAGCGUUAAUCGGAAUUACUGGGCGUAAAGCGUGCGCAGGCGGUUUUGUAAGUCUGACGUGAAAUCCCCGGGCUUAACCUGGGAAUUGCGUUGGAGACUGCAAGGCUGGAGUCUGGCAGAGGGGGGUAGAAUUCCACGUGUAGCAGUGAAAUGCGUAGAUAUUGGGAGGAACACCGGUGGCGAAGGCGGCCCCCUGGACCGGUACUGACGCUGAGGCGCGAAAGCGUGGGGAGCAAACAGG
rnacentral:rRNA from 1 species